GGCCCGCUAGCUCAGAUGGUUAGAGCGCCAGCCUGUCACGUUGGAGGUCGCCGGUUCGAGCCCGGUGCGGGUCGCCA
rnacentral:tRNA from 1 species